CCUACGGUGGGCAGCAGUGAGGAAUAUUGGUCAAUGGACGAGAGUCUGAACCAGCCAAGUAGCGUGAAGGAUGACUGCCCUAUGGGUUGUAAACUUCUUUUAUAAAGGAAUAAAACGAGGCACGUGUGCCUUUUUGCAUGUACUUUAUGAAUAAGGAUCGGCUAACUCCGUGCCAGCAGCCGCGGUAAUACGGAGGAUCCGAGCGUUAUCCGGAUUUAUUGGGUUUAAAGGGAGCGUAGAUGGGUUGUUAAGUCAGUUGUGAAAGUUUGCGGCUCAACCGUAAAAUUGCAAUUGAUACUGGCAGUCUUGAGUACAGUUGAGGUAGGCGGAAUUCGGGGUGUAGCGGUGAAAUGCUUAGAUAUUGCGCAGAACUCCGAUUGCGAAGGCAGCAUACCGGCGGCGAUCUGACGCUGAGGCACGAAAGCGUGGGUAUCAAACAGGAUUAGAUACCCUUAGUC
rnacentral:rRNA from 1 species